CGCUGGCGGCGUGCCUAAUACAUGCAAGUAGAACGCUGAGGAUUGGUGCUUGCACUAAUCCAAAGAGUUGCGAACGGGUGAGUAACGCGUAGGUAACCUACCUCAUAGCGGGGGAUAACUAUUGGAAACGAUAGCUAAUACCGCAUGAYACUAGAGUACACAUGUACUUAAGUUAAAAGGAGCAAUUGCUUCACUAUGAGAUGGACCUGCGUUGUAUUAGCUAGUUGGUGAGGUAACGGCUCACCAAGGCGACGAUACAUAGCCGACCUGAGAGGGUGAUCGGCCACACUGGGACUGAGACACGGCCCAGACUCCUACGGGAGGCAGCAGUAGGGAAUCUUCGGCAAUGGACGGAAGUCUGACCGAGCAACGCCGCGUGAGUGAAGAAGGUUUUCGGAUCGUAAAGCUCUGUUGUUAGAGAAGAACGGUAAUGGGAGUGGAAAAUCCAUUACGUGACGGUAACUAACCAGAAAGG
rnacentral:rRNA from 1 species